rnacentral:rRNA from 1 species
AAUGAACGUUGGCGGCAGGCCUAAGACAUGCAGGUCGAGCGAGCGGAGGACGGGUGAGUAAUGGCUGGGAAAAUGCCUGAUGGGGGGGGAUAACUCCAGGACACGUUAACGAAUACCGCAUACCAUCAGAUGUGCUAAGAUGGGAUUGGCUCGUAGGUGGGGUAACGGCUUACCUAGGCGGCGAGCCCUAGCUGGUCUGAGAGGAUGACCAGCAACACUGGAACUGAGUGACGGUCCAGACUCCUACGGGAGGCCGCAGUGGGGAAUAUUGCACAAGGGGCGCAAGCCUGACCGAGCCACGCCGCGUGUGUGACGAAGGCCUGGGGGUUGUAAAGCACUUUCAGCGGUGAGGCGUUAACCGCAGAAGAAGCAACGGCUAACUCCGUGACAGCAGCCGCGGUAAUAC